CCGCCCUGCUUCAACAAGGGUCGACCGAACUGACAGCAGAAUUAAACGGGAAAUUGGUGCGAUGCGCUGUGAUCAUCAUGCGCUCAAUGCCAACGCUGCCCCCGCAACGGUAAGCAAGUAAGCCACAUCGAUAAACCACUGUCAGUCAGCGCCAGGCGCAACAAUUGAUGGGAAGGUGAUGAGGCUUGAUAGACGUCAGCAGACGGCUAUGACUUGCAAGCCCGGAGACCGGCCUGAUGCCAACGACACGC
rnacentral:ncRNA from 1 species